rnacentral:lncRNA from 1 species
AUGCUGAAAGGCCUGGGAAUAUAUUUCCCAAAGGAAGAAUUACAGGAGGUGCUUACAUCCAUUCCUCUUGAUAUAGAAGAAGGCCCCCUGAAAGCUCUGGCUGCCAUUAGAAAAAAUGUGGUCACUCCUGAUGAUCUAGGCUCCAUCCUGAAAAAUAUAGGAGUUCCAUUACCUCAAGAUGCACUUCAAAGAUCAGUGCAGAAUGUGGCUCUCAUGGAGGAUGGAAAAGUAAAUUUAGAAGAAUUUAUUGGCAAUUUAAUCAAUCCAGGAUCUUCACCUCUACCUGAAACUGAUAAAGACAUGAAUGAGAAGAAUGGGAUAAAAGAUGGGAGGUCAUCUGCUGGUGAGUGA